GUGAUAUAAGACAAUGAAGACUUUUAACUGAGUAGACAUAUAAUUGCUGAUUUUUAAAUUAAUUUUUAGGGAAAUAGGGGAUCAGUGGCAUUUGGCAAUUCAAGAAGCAAUUUUAGAAAAAUGCAGUGAUAAUGAUGGCAUCGUUCACAUUGCAGUAGACAAAAAUUCACAUGAGGGUUGUGUGUAUGUUAAAUGUUUGUCUCCAGAAUAUGCUGGAAAGGCUUUUAAGGCAUUACAUGGCUCUUGGUUUGAUGGGAAAUUGGUUACAGUAAAAUAUUUACGACUAGAUAGAUACCAUCAUCGUUUUCCCCAAGCUCUUACUUGCAACACUCCCUUGAAGCCAUCACAUAAACAUAUGAACUCUAGGUCUCAUCUUUGGCUUCGGACUGGCCUAGCCAAUUCUCAAGGAAGUUCCUGAAAAGACGUUCUUCACUCCUAGAACAAUAGGAAAAUUCCAGUUUGGCUUCCUGUCUUCCUUUCUAAAUGCUUUUUGUAUGUAAUAUUUUUAUUGCUGAAUACAGCUCUGUUUGAAAGUUCCAGAAAUCUUAAGGUUCCAAAGGGAUUUAACAGUGAGGCAGCAAUACUAAGUAGGUAGAAUAAUUAUUUCAUUCAGUUUUUGAAGCUCAGUUAAGCCAAUGCAUUUAAAGUUUUGCAUGAGGAUCCUUGACUUUAUACACAUUUUCAGAUGUAGUGGUUAUAUUUUUGCACCAAGAAGUGCUUGGAUAACCACACAAAAGCAUGGUGAAGAGACUUCCUGUAUUUCCAUAAUUUCUUGU
rnacentral:lncRNA from 1 species